rnacentral:tRNA from 3 species
CGGGGUAUAGCGCAGUGGUAGCGCGCAUCGUUCGGGACGAUGAGGCCGCUGGUUCGAAUCCAGCUACCCCGA